rnacentral:tRNA from 1 species
GACCGCGUAGCUCAGUUGGCAGAGCAUUGGGCUAGUAUUCCAAAGGUCGUAGGUUUCGAAUCCCACCGUGGCCA